AGCUCACGGCAAUGCUGGAUCCUUUAACCCACUAAGUGAGGCCAGGGAUCGAACCCACAACCUCAUGGAUACUAGUUGGAUUCUUAACCUGCUGAGCCACAACAGACACUCCACUCCUGGCUAAUCUUAACCAGUACUUUCUUUUUAAAAUUGAAGUUAGACUCUGACAAUAUCAUUUUUAGGCAAAGAAAGGUAAACUUGAAAUAAAGAGAUGUUUGAGACCCACCUAUUUAUUUAUUUAUUUAUUUACUUACUUACUUAUUUUCAGCCUCACCUGUGGCAUGCGGAAGUUCCUGGGCUAAAGAUCAAACCUGAGCCACAACAAUGACCUGAGCCACAGCAGUGACAAUGCCAGAUCCUUAACCCGCUAGGCCACCAAAGAACUCCUAGACCCAUCUUUUUAAAGCUGCAGUCAUACUCCAAAUAAUAUUUACUAAAAAACAAAAGUUCUAUUUACAGUCUAUUCUAUGUUAUGGUGUGCUGGCCUGUAUGCUACAUUAUGUUAUUCUGGUCUGUUCAUUCAUUUAUUCAUUCCCGAAGUAUUAAUUGAGUGACUUUAUUAGGGUGGGUACUAUCCCAGGUGUGAUGGAUUCAUUAUCCUACUUACUAAUCAGUGUGAUAAAUGGAACAAUGACCUCCCUUCCUCCCCCUGCAACACACAAAAAGAUGUUUAUAUCCGAAUCCCGAGACCUGCAAAUGUGUCCCCUGACAUGGAGAGGGGUCUUUUCAGGUAUAAAACAGAUAAGGAUCUUGAGAGGGGGGAUUACCCUGGAUUAUCUAGUUGGGCCUAUUGUAAUCAUGAGUGUUUAUAAGAGGAAGGGACGCGAGUCAGAAGCCACAACGGAGAUGUAAUGUGGAAGCAGAGGUUAGACAGUAAUGUGCUUUGGAGAUGAAGGAAGGGUCCACUAGCUAAGGAGUGCAGGUAGCCUCUAGAAUCUAGUAAAGCAAGAAAGCAGAUUCUACUUUAGAAUAAACAUAACCUUGCCUCAGCCUUGAUUUUAGCCCCAUAAAACUCAUUUUGGAUAUCUGACUUUCAGUAUUGUAAGAGGAUAAAUUUGUGUUGUUUUCUGUCCCAAGGUAGGUGGUAAUUUGUUACAGCAGCAAUAGGAAAAAAAAGAGUCAGGAUAGUUACAGUAUGAUGCAGUAACAAACAAUCUCCAAAUCCCGUUGACUUAUCACAGCAAGGGCUUAUUUCUUAUGCACACUACUGGGCCAGAAAGGGCCACCUGGGGGCUCUGUUUAUCGUUGUCAGCCAGUAACCCAGGGUGAUGGAGGCACCAUCAUGACAUGUGCUUCUAUAACCACUUCAUCUUUACAUGGUAAAUAGUUUGUAUAUCGUCCUCCCGGAAGAAACACAGAGUACUCUGGCUUACAUUUCAUUGGCCAAAACAAAUCACAUGGCUGUGCCAAACUUCAGUUAGAAAGGGGACAUAUACUCCUACAUGUGGAGAUGGAAGAAACUGAAAAUGUGGGACCAGCCCUGGUACUUCUCCAACCAGGGAAAAGAAUCAGGGUCCCUAUUCUCGUAGAGUUUAUGUCCAUGGAAGAUGGAGACUGACAAAACAAAGAUAGAAACAAAAAUCUUACUAAAUAACAAAUAGGGUCAGUUUCAGAACUUGAUGAAUGAUAUGGAGAGAAUAAAACAAGGUCAUGUGAUAGAGUGAUGGCGUGGCUACAUUUGAUUGGUGUUCAAGGAAAGACACUCUGAGGAAGUGGCGUUUGCAUUGUGAGAUGAAUGGCAAGAAUCAACCAUGAGCUGAUGCUGAGACAGAGUGGUAGAGGGGGGAUCCAAAAUGAUGAUUUUCCACUGCACUUAAGGAAAGCAAAAAUCUUGGGGGAAAGCUAUUUCCUUGCAGUCUGUUUCUAUGAGACCAAACUAGUGUUCGCGGCUGGAGGAAAAUUGAUGGUGCACAACGGCUAUUAGACCCCUAUGAAGAUUCCUUUACAAAAUUUCGACACACCAGAAUUUUGUACAAAACAGAAUGACCUUCCCAUCACUGGAGGCUAGGACCCUUGGAUUUGGGCUAGUUUCCAAAAGGUUGGAAAAGGAGGGUAGUCAGUGAAACAGCAGUCAGGGGGCUCCAGAGAACGGCUAAGCAAAGGUGGCUGCCUCGGUGCUAGACUUGAACUCUUUGGCUGCAUGACUUAUUCCAAAUAGCCAAGGUUUUAGUGAGAGAUAGGGUCAGGCAGGGUCGGGGGAGGGCAGAGCACUGAACCUUUGUGAUAAACUAGCUGUCAGGAAAGGCUGUCAAAACACCCAAAGUAUGAGCAAAAGAACAGAAGCUUCUGUUUGGGACCCACACAGAAAAAUAAAUAGCUUUGGAUCUUGAUCUGUGGAGUUGGGAGAAAAAAAGAUCACAGCCUUUGAGUGGGAAAAUAUCCACAGAGACCUGCAGAAACUGGGAGAAGGAGAGAUAGCGAGGCACACACUCUCCGAAGAAUGGAGCAAGGACAGCCCAGUGUCAUCUUAGAGAGCUCAAUCACCAGGACCCUGCAUCAGAGGGAACCUGGAGCAAGCACACAAUGCAGGACAAUGUUGAGCCCUCAGAAAAGUCCAUCUACAUCUGUUCAUCUGGUCCAUGUUCUUCUCCUAGUCCUGGGAGCCCUUUCUCUCCCUCUGGUACCUUCUUCUCCAAGGAGAACCUUUGGUACAACUGGAAACCUGUCUGCCCUUCUCCUGACGAUAGCAGACUAUAGAGGGAAGAGCCCUCCCUACCUAUCCUUGGAAAAUCUAAACAUUCUCCUCUUGACCCUCAUUUUAUUUUUUAAAAAAUUUCAUGGCCACACCAGCAGCAUAUAGAAGUUCUUGGGCUGGGAAUUGAAUCUGACCUGAGUUGCUGCAGUUGGAUUUUUAACCCAUUGUGCUGCAGUGGGAACUCCAUCUUGACUCUCAUUGCCAGGUGAUAACAUUCUGGAGAAGGGGAAAGAGGAUAGGAUUUGUAAUGAGGGAAUCUGGGUUUAAAUCUUGGCUUUUAUUAGACUGAAUUCUUUGACAGAGUUUCCAUAAACCAGAAUUUUGUAUGAAAUGAGAUGCAAUUCUCAGCCCAAUAUAACCUUACUUAGAAUGACCUUCUGGUCUACCGUCUACCUGGCAAAUUUUUUCCCAUUUGCCAGUGGCCAAGAGCCGCUAUUUCUGCCUCUGUGACCGUCUCCGUGAUCACAGAAAACUCUUUGCUGCUUAAUGAUUGACCUUAGUAAUAUCCACUUGAGAGCAACGUUGCCCCUGAGCUACAUGGCAAGACUUGCCCUGUGCCUUCAAAAAGACAGUCACAUUAGGUAACAACUCUUAUUAUAAGCCUAAUUGUUGAACAAGAAACACAUAAUUUGGGGGUAGCAGAUUAGAAAUAGCUAAUGUGUUACUUACAACGGAACCUUAAAGUCUAAGCAAUUGCCAAGAAUAUGUGUGCUGGCUAGCAUGUGGAUUUUUGGCAAGCAACAUUAAGCACUCACCUUGAAGCAGAUGCCUCCUGUGUCCUGCAUCACAUACCCUUGGCUUGUCUCUGAUUUUACCCACGGCUUCAGAGGAUGGUUCUGGAUAAGCUUGAAAUGCCCUACCCCAAGCCUAGGCUUUCCUUAGUGUCAUGAUAGCUUGUUGGGCCAACAUGAAAACACAGCCUGCAAGUGUGGGGAAACCAGUGCUCCCAUACACAGGCCUCAGUUAAACGGGGGAGAAGGCCAGGGAAUAAAUGUCCCAGCUUCCCAUUGCUGAGGAAGGCACUUCUGGAUGCAUUUGGUGGGUAAGUCAGGAGGUCCUGGAAAAAUCUACACCCUGUUGCUCCCAGUUAUGAUUCUUCUAAUUUCUCCUCCUUCUUCUUCUUCCUCUUCCUCCUCCUCUUCUUAUUUUUCUCCUCCUUUUCUUCUUCCUUCCCCUCCCCCACUCCUCCUCCUUCUUCUUCUUAUUGGCUGCCCCCAGCACAUGGAAUUCCGGGGCCAGGGAUCAGAUCAGAGCUCCAAUUGUAACUUAUGCCGCAGCUGUGGCAACACCAGAUCCUUUACCCACUGUGCCAAACUGUGGGUUAAACCUGUGUCCCACUGCUCCAGAAAGGCUGCUGAUCCCAAUAUAUAUAUAUAUUUUGUAGCCAUGCCUGCAGCAUGCAAAAGUUCGCAGGCCAGGGACUGAACCUGUGCCACAUCAGUGACCUGAGCAGCAGCGGUGAAAACUGCUGGCUCCUUAACCUGCUGAGCCACAAGGGAACUCCUGCUAAUACACUCUUAAACUGGCCAUGUCUGAAUGCCUGGAAACUGAGGCCAUAUUACCUUACAUGGCAAAGGAACUUUGCAGAUGUGAUUAAAUUAAGAAUCUUGGAGUUCUCGUCGUGGCGCAGUGGUUAACGAAUCCGACUAGGAACCAUGAGGUUGCGGGUUCGGUCCCUGCCCUUGCUCAGUGGGUUAACGAUCCGGCGUUGCCGUGAGCUGUGGUGUAGGUUGCAGACGCUGCUCGGAUCCUGCGUUGCUGUGGCUCUGGCGUAGGCGGGGGGCUGCAGCUCCGAUUCGACCCCUGGCCUGGGAACCUCCAUAUGCCGCGGGAGCGGCCCAAAGAAAUAGCAAAAAA
rnacentral:lncRNA from 1 species